AUUGAACGCUGGCGGCAUGCCUUACACAUGCAAGUCGAACGGCAGCACGGGUGCUUGCACCUGGUGGCGAGUGGCGAACGGGUGAGUAAUAUAUCGGAACAUACCCUAGAGUGGGGGAUAACGUAGCGAAAGUUACGCUAAUACCGCAUACGAACUAAGGUUGAAAGUGGGGGAUCGCAAGACCUCAUGCUCAUGGAGUGGCCGAUAUCUGAUUAGCUAGUUGGUGAGGUAAAGGCUCACCAAGGCGACGAUCAGUAGCUGGUUUGAGAGAACGCCCAGCAGCAAUGGAACGAGAACAGGGGCCAGCAUCCUACGGGAGGCAGAAGGGGGGAGUUGUGGACAAGGGGGGCAACCCUGAUCCAGCAAUGCCGGGUGGGUGAAGAAGGCCCUCGGGUUGGAAAGCUCUUUUGUCAGGGAAGAAACGGUCUACUCAAAUACAGUGGGCUAAUGACGGUACCUGAAGAAAAAGCACCGGCUAACUACGUGCCAGCAGCCGCGGUAA
rnacentral:rRNA from 1 species